GGGGGUUCUGUACGGAAGUGUUCUGGGACAGCCAGAGCGGAAGCCGGCCGAGCCGGCGCCACGGAGCCGCUGUGUCGAUAAACGCGCAAACAACAUCCUAACUACUUGUUUUAGCAUAGAAUCAUGUGCAAAUUUUGGCAAGAGAUUCUCAGACCCUCCUCCAUGUCUAGGGGCUGGGCUGGCUGCCUCAGAAGCAGCUGGGGCACUUUAUGAGAUUACAGACUCCUGGGACCUACCCUAGACCUUCUGAUUUAGAAUAUCUAGAGGUGGAAACCUAGCAUAUGUUUUUUUUGAGGGGGGUGGGGAUAUUUUUCCCUUAAAAUAGUUCUGAUGUGUGUAUUUUGGGACCACCGUCUUCUGGACUUUUGUCUUCAUUAAAGAUUUGAAAAUAUGUGUUGAACUAGCUCAGUAUGUAUUUGUGAAAAACAAAACUUGUCAAGUCCAAAAUAAAGUGUUAUUUAUUCAUAUCCUACCUUAUUCCAGAUAAGAUUUGAGGGUUGUAUAGGAAAUAACUAAAACAAUGAAAUGCAAAGAAGUCA